CUGUGCUUGAAGCUGUUAUCCUUGCCUGCUUUUAGUAGUUGGUGGUGGUAAUGCUUAUUUUUACAUGCUUGUUUAAUGAUGGGUUAUAUUGUUUUUCUCCAUAUAUGUCCAAGCUUUCGUAUGCUAUUUUAUUCUGGCAUCUUUAAUUGUACUGGACAUUUGGGUCAUUUUGAACCCUUGAUCUGUUAGGCUGAGCUUACAUGGGCCUUUCUCAAAAUACAUUGCCAUGUAUAUGAACAUGUAUUAAAAUGUUUAGCGCAGAUUCAUGAUUGUUGCUGUGGAAGAAAGUUUUGCCUUUUUAACUGUCUUCCAUUAUUGCAAAAACCGAAGAGGGUGCUCUUCUAAAAUAAAAUGCUUGUUCUCGUUAUAAUUUUUGGUAUUAUGUCUGCUUAUCAUUUAUUGGGUUUUUUCUUUUCUGCUAUCUUUAUAUUGCUUGUGUUUCUCAUUGCUGGCAUGGGUUUAAUCAAUAUGUUCCCGUAAUAAUUCACAUUAAAUUAAUAUA
rnacentral:misc_RNA from 1 species